AGCGAACGCUGGCGGCAGGCCUAACACAUGCAAGUCGAACGGACCCUUCGGGGUUAGUGGCGGACGGGUGAGUAACACGUGGGAACGUGCCUUUAGGUUCGGAAUAGCUCCUGGAAACGGGUGGUAAUGCCGAAUGUGCCCUUCGGGGGAAAGAUUUAUCGCCUUUAGAGCGGCCCGCGUCUGAUUAGCUAGUUGGUUGGGGUAAUGGCCCACCAAGGCGACGAUCAGUAGCUGGUCUGAGAGGAUGACCAGCCACAUUGGGACUGAGACACGGCCCAAACUCCUACGGGAGGCAGCAGUGGGGAAUCUUGCGCAAUGGGCGAAAGCCUGACGCAGCCAUGCCGCGUGGAUGAUGAAGGUCUUAGGAUUGUAAAAUCCUUUCACCGGUGGAGAUAAUGACUGUAGCCGGAGAAGAAGCCCCGGCUAACUUCGUGCCAGCCGCCGCGGUAACAC
rnacentral:rRNA from 1 species